UUUUCUUUUCCUCUCCUUGCCCGAAACUCUCUUCUCCUCACACGCACGCACGGCGCGGCGGGUUUUGCUCUCGGGCGAAGAAGGCGAUCGAGCUAGGGUUCUCUCCCUCCGGCGGCCGGCGAAGGCUUUGUCCGACCGGUCCUCACCCGUACGUGGUCACCUCGACGAAGGGAGCUCGGGAACACAAAGGAGCCGCCGAGAUCUUCAAGCUCCACCCGAACCCUAGAUCUCCCUCUCGGUUGUAAGUCCAAGCAAACCAUUAUAAAGGAAAAGUUAAGGUGUAAAGAGGAAGGCGACAAGGAGAAUGCGUGAUAGAUGUGUGUGAUGCCAGGACUAUGGAGGGAUCUGGGAAGCUAUGAGUUUUCAUGUUUAGUGGAAAAGAAAUAGUUGAGUUGUACUUUAUAGUUUGUGUCAUUUGAGAUUGUAUUCUUUAUUCCUUGUUUUUUUAUUGAGUUCAUUCGUGUCUUAGAUUGCAUGCUGUGAUGAGUCUCUGUGUAAUAAGUAGUUGUUUUAGUGUUUGACUUUUAUUAAACUGCAUGAGUGUUUGAUAUAUGUUCCAGCCGACUGUGGCUGUAUAUACUGUGUA